rfam:Agrilus planipennis Contig14269, whole genome shotgun sequence.
ACUCGAGGAGGGAUUUUAGUCGGUAGACGCUUCGGUGAAUCCGACACUGCCCCCAUUUAGAGAGUAUCUUUUGAAGAUUUCCCUUCCUCG